rnacentral:rRNA from 1 species
CCUACGGGGUGCAGCAGUGAGGAAUAUUGGUCAAUGGGCGCGAGCCUGAACCAGCCAAGUAGCGUGAAGGAUGACUGCCCUACGGGUUGUAAACUUCUUUUAUAAAGGAAUAAAGUGAGGCACGUGUGCCUUUUUUUAUGUACUUUAUGAAUAAGGAUCGGCUAACUCCGUGCCAGCAGCCGCGGUAAUACGGAGGAUCCGAGCGUUAUCCGGAUUUUUUUGGUUUAAAGGGAGCGUAGGUGGGUUGUUAAGUCAGUUGUGAAAGUUUGCGGCUCAACCGUAAAAUUGCAAUUGAUACUGGCAGUCUUGAGUACAGUUGAGGUAGGCGGAAUUCGUGGUGUAGCGGUGAAAUGCUUAGAGAUCACGAAGAACCCCGAUUGCGAAGGCAGCUUACUAAACUGCCACUGACAUUGAUGCGCGAAAGUGUGGGGAUCAAACAGGAUUAGAUACCCCUGUAGUC